CCUACGGGUGGCAGCAGUCGAGAAUUUUUCUCAAUGGGCGAAAGCCUGAAGGAGCGACGCCGCGUGGGGGAUGAAUGGCUUCGGCCCGUAAACCCCUGUCAUUUGCGAACUUGUAGCGAAAGAGGAAGGGACGGCUAACUCUGUGCCAGCAGCCGCGGUAAUACAGAGGUCCCAAGCGUUGUUCGGAUUCACUGGGCGUAAAGGGUGCGUAGGUGGUAAGGCAAGUCAGGUGUGAAAUCUCCGGGCUCAACCCGGAAAUGGCAUUCGAAACUACCUUGCUAGAGGGUUUGAGGGGGGACUGGAAUACUUGGUGUAGCAGUGAAAUGCGUAGAUAUCAAGUGGAACACCAGUGGCGAAGGCGAGUCCCUGGAAAACCCUGACACUGAGGCACGAAAGCUAGGGGAGCAAACAGGAUUAGAUACCCUUGUAGUC
rnacentral:rRNA from 1 species